UAGGUGGAAUCCGAAAAACUAGAAAAGAGUAGGAA
rnacentral:ncRNA from 1 species